CGCCUCCUGCCAACCUCAUAGGAGGUCCCGCCUGCCCGGUGACAACUUUAACGGCCACGGUAUCCUGACCGCGCGAAGGUAGCACAAUCACUUGUCCUUUAAAUAGGGACCUGUAUCAACGGCAUCACGAGGGCGCAACUGUCUCCUCUGUUUAAUCAGUGAACCUGCUCUCUUCGUGAAGAAGCGAAGAUAAGCUCAUAAGACGAGAAGACCCCAUGAAGCUUAAAACCAAAUAACACCUCCCCUCUACUACAAACCAUAAAAAGAUGAAGACUUGUUAACCUGUUUUUGGCUGGGGCAUCCAAGGAGUACAACCAAACCUCCAUGACGAAUAUCUCUGAGCAACAGCUCUAGGAAACAGAAGUCUGACGUAAUAUGACCCGAAAUAUCGAUAAACGAACCAAGUUACUCUGGGGAUAACAGCGCCAUCCACUUUAAGAGUUCAUAUUGACAAGUGGGUUUACGACCUCGAUGUUGGAUCAGGGUAUCCCAGUGGUGCAGCCGCUACUAAAGGUUCGUUUGUUCAACGAUUAAAAC
rnacentral:rRNA from 1 species